CACCCAAAUUGAAAGAGGUAUCUUUCCUACUCUCUCCAGUCGCCGACACCGACUUCCCACCGUUGAAUCCAUUCAUCGAACAUUUAGCCUGCGCCGUUGGAUCACAUAAUCCUUUCUCAUCUUCAUCCAUCUUGCUUUGUUUCUCUUUCUUCACAUCUUCCCCCUGGAUUCUCUUCACCCUGGCCCGCCUCAGCCCCAAGNGCGGGGAGCCACAAGCCGAUGGGGCAAGGAACAGUUUACGCUCCUAGAGCCCUCGUUCG
rnacentral:misc_RNA from 1 species